rnacentral:rRNA from 1 species
UACGAAGGGGGCUAGCGUUGCUCGGAAUUACUGGGCGUAAAGCGCACGUAGGCGGAUUGUUAAGUCGGGGGUGAAAUCCUGGAGCUCAACUCCAGAACUGCCUUCGAAACUGGCGAUCUUGAGUCCGGGAGAGGUGAGUGGAACUGCGAGUGUAGAGGUGAAAUUCGUAGAUAUUCGCAAGAACACCGGUGGCGAAGGCGACCACCUGGACGGAGACUGACGCUGAGGCGCGAAAGCGUGGGGAGCAAACAGG